GAUGAACGCUGGCGGCGUGCUUAACACAUGCAAGUCGAACGAAGCAUUACUUUUGAAAGAACUUAGCUUGCUAAGAGCGGACAUGUGUAAUGACUGAGUGGCGGACGGGUGAGUAACGCGUGAGUAACCUGCCUUAUACAGGGGGAUAACAGUUGGAAACGACUGCUAAUACCGCAUAAGCACACAGUACCGCAUGGUACGGUGUGAAAAACUCCGGUGGUAUAAGAUGGACUCGCGUCUGAUUAGCUAGUUGGUGAGGUAAAGGCCCACCAAGGCAACGAUCAGUAGCCGGCCUGAGAGGGUGACCGGCCACAUUGGGACUGAGACACGGCCCAAACUCCUACGGGAGGCAGCAGUGGGGAAUAUUGCACAAUGGGGGAAACCCUGAUGCAGCGACACCGCGUGAAGGAAGAAGUAUUUCGGUAUGUAAACUUCUAUCAGCAGGGAAGAAAAUGACGGUACCUGACUAAGAAGCCCCGGCUAAUUACGUGCCAGCAGCCGCCGCAGUAAUAC
rnacentral:rRNA from 1 species